GGUUAAGCGACUAAGCGUACACGGUGGAUGCCUAGGCAAUCAGAGGCGAUGAAGGACGUGCUAAUCUGCGAAAAGCGUCGGUAAGGUGAUAUGAACCGUUAUAACCGACGAUGUCCGAAUGGGGAAACCCAGUGCAAUUCGUUGCACUAUCGUUUGAUGAAUCCAUAGUCAAACGAGGCGAACCGGGGGAACUGAAACAUCUCAGUACCCCGAGGAAAAGAAAUCAACCGAGAUUCCCCUAGUAGCGGCGAGCGAACGGGGAGCAGCCCAGAGUCUUAAUCAGCAUCAGCAUCAGGAGAACGGUCUGGAAAGGCCGGCAAUAAAGGGUGAUAGCCCCGUAUCCGAAGGUGUUGGUGUUGUGAACUCGACGAGUAGGGCGGGACACGUGUUAUCCUGUCUGAAUAUGGGGGGACCAUCCUCCAAGGCUAAAUACUCCUGAUUGACCGAUAGUGAACCAGUACCGUGAGGGAAAGGCGAAAAGAACCCCGGCGAGGGGAGUGAAAUAGAACCUGAAACCGUGUACGUACAAGCAGUGGGAGCCUUGAUUUAUCAGGGUGACUGCGUACCUUUUGUAUAAUGGGUCAGCGACUUAUAUUCUGUAGCAAGGUUAACCGAAUAGGGGAGCCGUAGGGAAACCGAGUCUUAACUGGGCGAAUGAGUUGCAGGGUAUAGACCCGAAACCCGGUGAUCUAGCCAUGGGCAGGUUGAAGGUUGGGUAACACUAACUGGAGGACCGAACCGACUAAUGUUGAAAAAUUAGCGGAUGACUUGUGGCUGGGGGUGAAAGGCCAAUCAAACCGGGAGAUAGCUGGUUCUCCCCGAAAGCUAUUUAGGUAGCGCCUCGUGAACUCAUCUUCGGGGGUAGAGCACUGUUUCGGCUAGGGGGUCAUCCCGACUUACCAACCCGAUGCAAACUACGAAUACCGAAGAAUGUUAUCACGGGAGACACACGGCGGGUGCUAACGUUCGUCGUGAAGAGGGAAACAACCCAGACCGCCAGCUAAGGUCCCAAAGUCAUGGUUAAGUGGGAAACGAAGUGGGAAGGCUCAGACAGCCAGGAUGUUGGCUUAGAAGCAGCCAUCAUUUAAAGAAAGCGUAAUAGCUCACUGGUCGAGUCGGCCUGCGCGGAAGAUGUAACGGGGCUAAACCAUGCACCGAAGCUGCGGCAGCGACAUGUAAAUGUUGUUGGGUAGGGGAGCGUUCUGUAAGCCUGUGAAGGUGUGCUGCGAGGCAUGCUGGAGGUAUCAGAAGUGCGAAUGCUGACAUAAGUAACGAUAAUGCGGGUGAAAAACCCGCACGCCGGAAGACCAAGGGUUCCUGUCCAACGUUAAUCGGGGCAGGGUGAGUCGACCCCUAAGGCGAGGCAGAAAUGCGUAGUCGAUGGGAAACAGGUUAAUAUUCCUGUACUGGUGAUAAUUGCGAUGGGGGGACGGAGAAGGCUAGGCUGGCCGGGCGACGGUUGUCCCGGUUUAAGGAUGUAGGUGGGUGAAUUAGGCAAAUCCGGUUCGCUAUACACUGAGGUCUGAUGACGAGUCACUACGGUGGCGAAGUAGCUCAUGCCCCGCUUCCAGGAAAAGCCUCUAAGCUCUAGAUUAUCAUUAAUCGUACCCCAAACCGACACAGGUGGUCAGGUAGAGAAUACUCAGGCGCUUGAGAGAACUCGGGUGAAGGAACUAGGCAAAAUGGUGCCGUAACUUCGGGAGAAGGCACGCUGGCAUUAGGUGAAGUGGUUUACCCAUGGAGCCGAAGCCAGUCGCAGAUACCAGCUGGCUGCAACUGUUUAUUAAAAACACAGCACUGUGCAAACACGAAAGUGGACGUAUACGGUGUGACGCCUGCCCGGUGCUGGAAGGUUAAUUGAUGGGGUUAUCCGUAAGGAGAAGCUCUUGAUCGAAGCCCCAGUAAACGGCGGCCGUAACUAUAACGGUCCUAAGGUAGCGAAAUUCCUUGUCGGGUAAGUUCCGACCUGCACGAAUGGCGUAAUGAUGGCCAGGCUGUCUCCACCCGAGACUCAGUGAAAUUGAACUCGCUGUGAAGAUGCAGUGUACCCGCGGCAAGACGGAAAGACCCCGUGAACCUUUACUAUAGCUUGACACUGAACAUUGAGCCUUGAUGUGUAGGAUAGGUGGGAGGCUUUGAAGUGUGGACGCCAGUCUGCAUGGAGCCAACCUUGAAAUACCACCCUUUAAUGUUUGAUGUUCUAACGUAGCCCCAUAAUCUGGGGUGCGGACAGUGUCUGGUGGGUAGUUUGACUGGGGCGGUCUCCUCCCAAAGCGUAACGGAGGAGCACGAAGGUUGGCUAAGCAUGGUCGGACAUCAUGCGGUUAGUGCAAAGGCAUAAGCCAGCUUGACUGCGAGAGUGACGGCUCGAGCAGGUACGAAAGUAGGUCUUAGUGAUCCGGUGGUUCUGAAUGGAAGGGCCAUCGCUCAACGGAUAAAAGGUACUCCGGGGAUAACAGGCUGAUACCGCCCAAGAGUUCAUAUCGACGGCGGUGUUUGGCACCUCGAUGUCGGCUCAUCACAUCCUGGGGCUGAAGUAGGUCCCAAGGGUAUGGCUGUUCGCCAUUUAAAGUGGUACGCGAGCUGGGUUUAGAACGUCGUGAGACAGUUCGGUCCCUAUCUGCCGUGGGCGUUGGAAGAUUGAAAGGGGCUGCUCCUAGUACGAGAGGACCGGAGUGGACGCACCGCUGGUGUUCGGGUUGUCAUGCCAAUGGCACUGCCCGGUAGCUAAGUGCGGAAGAGAUAACCGCUGAAAGCAUCUAAGCGGGAAACUUGCCUUGAGAUGAGUCUUCCCUGACUCUUUAAGGGUCCUAAAGGAACGUUUAAGACGAAGACGUUGAUAGGCUGGGUGUGUAAGCGUAGCGAUACGUUGAGCUAACCAGUACUAAUGAACCGUGAGGCUUAACCUG
rnacentral:rRNA from 1 species